AUGUGAUGAGCAAACGUUUCGCGUGGUCAGCAGUUUUGACUUUGGGAAGAAAAGAGUUCCGUUGGAGACUGCGAAGGGAUAUUUUCUUAUGCAGCACGAAAAGAGUUCUCAUGGGAAUCGGCGGAGUGAUAUUUUGGAAGCAGAGGAUGCAAUUGCAGAAAAUGAGUUAGUUACCAUAGUUAAGCUGAUUCUAAUAGUCGUCUGCUCGCGCAUAAAUAUUAUAUCUCCCUCAUUUUACCGCUUUUAUUGGGACGGUAUCUAUGAGGCAGAUCCCUAUGAAGCAGAUGGUUUAAGGAACCAAAUCCCUAUGAUACAGAUCCCAAAAUCUCAGAUUUCUAUGACACUUACUCCUGAUGAUACAGAUAGAUCAAUGGCACAGAUAGAGCAAUUACUCAUAAUUCCGAUGAUACAGAUAUAUAAAUUGUCAAUGUGACUAAAAUAUAUAUAUAUAUAUAUAUAUAUAUAUAUACUAUAAUAUUAUAUACAAGUUCUCAGACUUGAUUCCUCACUUAUCAACCGUGCACUUAUAUACACUGUUAAAUAGUUAUAUAUAUAAUGCAAAUAAACAUAAUCGAUAUGUUAACUCUAAUUCAUAAUAAUUUUUUUUUGUGUGUGUGAGCAAUAACAUAUUUUAAAUUGAGAAAAACCAGUGAUAAAACGAAUUUAGUUAAAGUUGUGUGAGCUUUAAUAUUUAAAAGAUUAUCAUAAUCAACAGUGUGUUUGCAAAAUGGUGACUUUUUCUUCGUAUAUAAUUUGGACGUAGAAAAUGUAAAUAGAGACCAAAAAAAAAAUUCACAGAUAAAAGGCGUAGAUAUAUACAAGAUGAUUUACCAUUUAACAACAAGAAAUUUUUUAGUGCUCAGAGAUAUAUAAAGUUAUUAAAUCCAGCCUUAAUUCAAUCACAAUGCAAGCAAACUGGAACGUAUCACUGAUCUGUUGGGAAAUAUUUUUAAGUCAAGCUAAAUCGGAGCCCUUGUUGCUUGGUCAAGACUGAAGAAUGAUGUGAUAUUUAUUUACAGAUUGCUAGACGUAAUUUUGUAUUUCCUGGAGGCGAUGAAAUUAUGACUUAUCACUGAAAUUCGUAGGAUUCGACCAGCUUCUUCAAAUUUGUCAGGUGGAAGGAAUGGAACAUUCAUCAGCAUUGAUAAAAAUGAAUCGUUCAUCCACCUUGGCAAAUCCAGCAAGCAAAGUAUCAGUUGAAAAAAUUAAGGUGAAAUGGCCGGUCAUAGACUCAACAAUACCUUUGAGAAAAUCUUUCUCAAUUAAUAAUUCUCCCAGCUUGAAAAGAGUAUCAGGAAUCUUUGCCCUACUCUGACUACGCGCUCUUGAUAAGAUGCUUCGAACAGAAUCAUAUGAAUAAUUGCAGCUAACAUCAGGUCGACUAUAAAUAUGGUACAUAUAUGAAGCGAAAUUAAAACGGUCGAAUAAAAAAAAGGAAUUUAAAAUUAAAAAAUGGAAAUGUACACUAAUGAUACCGCAUUAAAAACAGAUCUGGGCUUAUUAUUAGAGUUUGUAACGUCAUUUUUCAUUACUUGGACCAUUGACCGCCAAACACCGGCUUUUUCAUCAGAAAGAUCAGUGUGAUCUUUUUUAAUGAAGAAAUCAAUUCCUUCUUGUAAAUGUGUAACAUCACUUAUCAAUGAUAGCUCUUGUGUGGAAUGUAAUGUUGCUUUACAGCCAAUUUUUCGAGUUGAGCAUCUUGCAACUCUUUUACACUGGGGAUCUUCUAAAUAUCUAAAUCCUUUGUAAAAAAAAAGACUUGAUCCUGGUUUUUUUCCAGGAAUUAUUUCCAUGACUGAUUACAUUAAUAUUUUUAACGAAACGUUAAUAACAAUUGAAAUAAUAAAUUAUGCAAAAUAUAAUAGUUUAUGUACUUUUGUUUUUGUUAUUUUAAAUAAACAAAAAAACAUUAGUUACCCUAGUAACAGUAAAUCAAGCGAUCAGACCGAUCAUACAACAGGAUCGAUUUGAAUAGGACCAGGCUGAUCUUACAACAAGAUGUACUACUCUAAAGAGUGCUGUUGGGCCAGAAUAAAAAGAAGAUGGACUUAUGCUGAGGAUUAUGAAAUUGUCCGGUUACGACUCAUGGAAUAUGAUCGUGACUUCAUCUGGGAAAGUUUGGAGAAAUAUGAUCACCAGCUAUAGAAAAUAAUUUCAUCUAAGCCGAUUUUUAAGAGGAGAAAGAAGGCCAUCAGAUCUUGCCACCGGCGUUUCUUAAAACUAUUUAAUGAUUACAAGCGCUACCGGGACAUGUCAGUACGUAACCAAUUGGAGUCGGAGUGGCCAUUUCGUCGCAUGUUUAUUGAUUAGCAAUCAAUCAGCGAACGUCUUGCAGCACGAAAUUUUGCAGAAAAUGAAGCAAAAACAUUGGGAUAUAUAAUUCAAUUGUUCUCCAAAUUACGUAACCAACAGUACGUUGUCUAUGGACAUUCUUUAUUACU